rnacentral:rRNA from 1 species
ACAGAGGGUGCAAACGUUGUUCGGAAUUACUGGGCGUAAAGCGCGCGUAGGCAGCAGCGUGUGUCGGGCGUGAAAUCCCACGGCUCAACCGUGGAAGUGCACUCGAAACUGCGCAGCUAGAGUCCCGGAGAGGAAGGCGGAAUGCUUGGUGUAGAGGUGAAAUUCGUAGAUAUCAAGCGGAACACCGGUGGCGAAGGCGGCCUUCUGGACGAUGACUGACGCUGAAGCGCGAAAGCGUGGGUAGCAAACGGGA